CUUGGGAUGGGGGUCCCUUAGCCCAGAUUGCAAGGGGGUGCAGGCCAGGCCGAGGGACCCCACGGGUGCACG
rnacentral:pre_miRNA from 1 species